rnacentral:sRNA from 1 species
GACUCUCAUAAUGACUGGCCAUACUGGAAAGGAUAACUUAGUUGAUUAGCCAAACAAUGACUUGAACCACAGCGUCAAAUGAAGGCUUUCCUAACGGAAUCUCUUUUCCUUACAUCUUUCUCAGAAAAAAAAGAAGAGACCAUUCCUGUGAUCAUUUCCCCCCUCAAGACCAUAUCAGCUUCUCUGGGGUCAAGACUGACAAUCCCGUGUAAGGUGUUUCUGGGAACCGGCACACCCUUAACCACCAUGCUGUGGUGGACGGCCAAUGACACCCACAUAGAGAGCGCCUACCCGGGAGGCCGCGUGACCGAGGGGCCACGCCAGGAAUAUUCAGAAAAUAAUGAGAACUACAUUGAAGUGCCAUUGAUUUUUGAUCCUGUCACAAGAGAGGAUUUGCACAUGGAUUUUAAAUGUGUUGUCCAUAAUACCCUGAGUUUUCAGACGCUGCGCACCACAGUCAAGGAAGCCUCCUCCACGUUCUCCUGGGGCAUUGUGCUGGCCCCACUUUCACUGGCCUUCUUGGUUUUGGGGGGAAUAUGGAUGCACAGACGGUGCAAACACAGAACUGGAAAAGCAGAUGGUCUGACUGUGCUAUGGCCUCAUCAUCAAGACUUUCAAUCCUAUCCCAAGUGAAAUAAAUGGAAUGAAAUAAUUC